GAGCUUCCAGAAGCGCCCAAGCAGGAAACCAUCUCCUCCAAGUUAACGAGCUUCCGGAUUCUCUCCUGUUUCGCGUCUCGAGCACCACCUACCAAGACCACAACCUAUCUGAUCCAUCCUCACGCUGUCCCGCUCUGCUCCUCGAAUUUUCUGCUCAGGAAGGAUGAGUAGCCUGUCAAGUCGCACUAUUUAUGUUGGCAAUCUUCCUGGUGAUAUUCGUUUGAGAGAAGUUGAGGAUCUUUUCUACAAGUAUGGUCCUCUUGUUGACAUUGAUUUGAAAAUCCCUCCAAGACCACCUGGUUAUGCUUUUGUAAAGUUUGAGGAUCGUCGUGAUGCCGAAGAUGCUAUUCGCUAUCGAGAUGGUUAUAAUUUUGAUGGUUUCCGAUUGCGAGUUGAAUUUGCGCAUGGUGGGCGGGGAUAUUCUUCAUCGGUUGACCGUUACAGCAGCUAUAGUGGUAGUGGUGGUAGCCGGGGAAUUUCCAGGCGUUCGGACUAUCGCGUUCUGGUCACUGGAUUACCCCCUUCAGCUUCAUGGCAAGACUUGAAGGAUCACAUGCGUAAAGCUGGUGAUGUAUGUUUCUCUGAAGUCUUUCGGGAGCGUGGUGGCAUGACUGGGAUCGUGGAUUAUACUAAUUAUGAUGAUAUGAAGUAUGCUAUCAGGAAGCUUGAUGAUUCAGAAUUCCGGAAUGCAUUUUCUCGUGCAUACAUACGGGUGAGAGAAUAUGAUCGACGGAGUUAUUCUAGGAGUCUCAGCCGUGAUUCUAGGAGGAGCUAUUCCAGAAGCUAUAGCCGCAGUCCUUAUAGGUCACGAAGUCGAAGCCGCAGCUGGAGUCGGGAUUACAGUUAUAGAGGCAGGAGCAGAAGUUUGUCACCGAAGGUGAAACGCUCAAGACGUUCAGUAUCUCUUUCAAGACUUGUCAGCACAAUUCUUCAUAUUUGGGAAGUGGGGAGGAGAGGGAAUUGUGAAGUGUUUCGUCAGGUUGGCCACUGGUUAUACAAUGUUCCCUAGGUUGACUUGUUUGUUAUCUGAAUGUGGCAUUCUGCAUAGCGUCUGGACUGCGUGUUAGGAUCUUGAUGGCAUGUGGUACUCAAAUGCCUGCCUGCAACUUUGUGAUUGAGACCGGAUGACUGUAUAUGGAUGAGUUGGAAUCAAAAAGCUGGCUUAUCCAAGGAAUCCUACACUGCCAGGAAUAGGUUGUUUAGCUAAAUCAGACUUAGAAUGAGAUACUGGGUCCUAUUGAUUUUUCCACUUGGCAGCUGCGUUAGACUUGUGAUCCCGCUCGAGAUCCAGAUCUCCAAAUUCAUCUCCUUCACCUUAUAGAAGUUACAGUCCUCGCCGUAAAAGCUUGUCGCAAUCCCGUUCGUCUUCGGUGAAGUCUGAUCGCAGCAGAUCUGCUGACUCUGGAUAUCGCUAUUGAGAGAUGAGGUCUUUUUGGCUGGAACUGUCUUAGAUAUUUUAUGUGAAGCUUUAGGAAUUCGUAUGCAGCUUGCUUUUAAUGUUGGUUUUGAGUUCUAAAUAAAGGGCCAGAUGGUGCAUUUGAUUUGCCAACAAAACAAAAUUUAUAUGAAUUAUAACUAGAUUAUCAAGAUGAUUGCAAUGAACUCUUUCCUGGUUCUUGCUAACUCGUUUGGGAUGCUAAUGAUGGUUGGGGUGUUAUAUUCU